CACGUAGUUAGCCGUCCCUUUCUGGUUAGAUACCGUCACUUAAGUAAUUUUCCACUCUACUUAACGUUCUUCUCUAACAACAGAGUUUUACGAUCCGAAAACCUUCUUCACUCACGCGGCGUUGCUCGGUCAGGGUUGCCCCCGAUUGCCGAAGAUUCCCUACUGCUGCCUCCCGUAGGACGUCUGGGCCGUGUCUCAGUCCCAGUGUGGCCGAUCACCCUCUCAGGUCGGCUAUGUAUCAUCGCCUUGGUAGUCCUUUACACUACCAACUAGCUAAUACAACGCGGGAUCAUCAAGUAGUGAAGCAAUUGCUUCUUUCAAAUAAGAAUCAUGCGAUUCUCAUUGUUAUGCGGUAUUAGCGUUCGUUUCCAAACGUUGUCCCCGCUACUCGGCAGAUUUCCCACGCGUUACUCACCCGUUCGCCGCUCUUCAUGAAAACUAGCAAGCUAUCUUCAAUCAUCGCUCGACUUGCAUGUAUUAGGCACGCCGCCAGCGUGUCUCGAGCAC
rnacentral:rRNA from 1 species